CGGCGCCCUGGCCCCGCGGCCCGACCCAGGGCCCCGGCCCGCCAGGGUCCCGAUCCCCGGCCCACGUGUGCCUGGCCCGGCCGGGCCUGGCUGCUGGGUGGGGGUGGGGAGCGCAGGGCCGGACUAUGCGGGCCCCGCGGGCUGGUAGGGCGCCGGGUUCGUCGCCGCGAAAUGCCACCUCGGCCUGACCCGAGGAGGCCCGGCAGCCCACGGGCGCAGGCACCACGGCUCCCGGCCCGCCGCCCCCUCCCCCCUUCGCGGCCAGGCCGCCGGGAAGUGACACGUUGUUCUUUGGCACUGGCCCGCGCUGCGCAGGGAGGGCGCAGGGGAGGGAGGCGGUGGCGGCGG
rnacentral:lncRNA from 1 species